UACGGAGGGUGCAAGCGUUACUCGGAAUUACUGGGCGUAAAGCGCACGCAGGUGGCUGAGUCAGGCGAUUGUGAAAGCCCUGGGCUUAACCUGGGAAUUGCAGUCGAUACUACUUAGCUAGAGUAUGGGAGAGGGCAGUGGAAUUCCCGGUGUAGCGGUGAAAUGCGUAGAUAUCGGGAGGAACAUCAGUGGCGAAGGCGGCUGCCUGGCCCAAUACUGACACUCAGGUGCGACAGCGUGGGGAGCAAACAGG
rnacentral:rRNA from 1 species